rnacentral:rRNA from 1 species
UACCGCGGCUGCUGGCACCAGACUUGCCCUCCAAUUGUUACUCUGAAAGGGGUUUGGAUUCCUAUCAUUCCAAUCACUAGAAAUGAAAUUUCCAGUGUUGUUAUUUCUUGUCACUACCUCCCUGAAUCAGGAUUGGGUAAUUUGCGCGCCUGCUGCCUUCCUUAGAUGUGGUAGCCGUUUCUCAGGCUCCCUCUCCGGAAUCGAACCCUAAUUCCCCGUUACCCGUCACUGCCACGGUAGUCCAAUACAGUACCGUCGAAAGCUGAUAGGUCAGAAACUUGAAUGAUCCGUCGCAGACCGAAGUCAACGCGAUCCGUUCGGUUACUAUGAAUCACCUGAGGACCACCGGAAGGUGGGUUGGUUCUGUAUCUAAUAAACACUGCCCUUCCAGGGGAAGAGGCAUGUGCGCAUGUAUUAGCCAUAGAAUUACCACGGUUAUCCAUGUAGUAAAGACCAUCAAAUAAACUAUAACUGUUUUAAUGAGCCAUUCGCAGUUUAGCCGUAUAAAAGCUUAUACUUAGACAUGCAUGGCUUAAUCUUUAAGACAAGCAUAUGA